GAUGAACGCUAGCUACAGGCUUAACACAUGCAAGUCGAGGGGCAGCGGGGAGGAUGCUUGCAUUCUCUGCCGGCGACCGGCGCACGGGUGAGUAACGCGUAUCGGACCUGCCUCAUACCCGGGAACAGCCUUGCGAAAGUAAGAUUAAUGCCCGAUGUUCCGCAGAUGCCGCAUGGUGUCUUCGGCAAAGAUUUUUUCGGAUGAGAUGGCGAUGCGUCCCAUUAGCUUGUGGCGGGUAACGCCCACGAGGCGACGAGUGGGUAGGGUUCUGAGAGGAACGGUCCCCCAUAGUUGGAACUGAGACACGGUCCAAACUCCUACGGGAGCAGCAGUGAGGAUAUUGGCAAUGGGCGAAGCCUGAACCAGCCAAGUAGCGUGCAGGAUGACGGCCCUCGGGUU
rnacentral:rRNA from 1 species